rnacentral:rRNA from 1 species
ACCUGGACACUAGGCGACUUCCUCGCAGCAGCUACCAAGCAGAUCGACUCCGCCCUAUCGACCUCGGGGAGGCGGCAAAUGCGAUGCCCGCCCAACUUCACCCCUCGGCGUGGGCGAUCCGCCUCGUCCAUGACAUGCAAGAGUGCAGCUCCGCCCAUGGCAGAAAGACACGCUCAAAUCCACAUCCUACGCACUCUCGGGAUCAUCGGACUUGACCAGAAGAUCACGGCUGCGGAGAUGCAAACUUACGAUGGGCUCUUCGCGACGCCUCUCCCCAUGUCUGUCCUCUCGGCCAUCGCCGCACUGGUCGAUCGCGAGCUCCCCAUCGAUCCUGCAAUUGCGUCGAUCACCACAGUGAUCGUGGGCAGCCUGAUCGAGGCCUAG